AGGUUGUGAUGUUUGCAAUCAUUGGGUAAACAUGUUUUGACCAAUUGCACUCGUCCCGGCCUGC